AGUCGAGCGAGCGGAACCACAGAUUUACUUCGGUAAUGACGUUGGGAAAGCGAGCGGCGGAUGGGUGAGUAACACGUGGGGAACCUGCCCCUAAGUCUGGGAUACCAUUUGGAAACAGGUGCUAAUACCGGAUAAUAAAGCAGAUCGCAUGAUCAGCUUUUGGAAGGCGGCGUAAGCUGUCGCUAAGGGAUGGCCCCGCGGUGCAUUAGCUAGUUGGUAAGGUAACGGCUUACCAAGGCGACGAUGCAUAGCCGAGUUGAGAGACUGAUCGGCCACAUUGGGACUGAGACACGGCCCAAACUCCUACGGGAGGCAGCAGUAGGGAAUCUUCCACAAUGGACGCAAGUCUGAUGGAGCAACGCCGCGUGAGUGAAGAAGGUUUUCGGAUCGUAAAGCUCUGUUGUUGGUGAAGAAGGAUAGAGGUAGUAACUGGCCUUUAUUUGACGGUAAUCAACCAGAAAGUCACGGCUAACUACGUGCCAGCAGCCGCGGUAAUACGUAGGUGGCAAGCGUUGUCCGGAUUUAUUGGGCGUAAAGCGAGCGCAGGCGGAAAAAUAAGUCUAAUGUGAAAGCCCUCGGCUUAACCGAGGAACUGCAUCGGAAACUGUUUUUCUUGAGUGCAGAAGAGGAGAGUGGAACUCCAUGUGUAGCGGUGGAAUGCGUAGAUAUAUGGAAGAACACCAGUGGCGAAGGCGGCUCUCUGGUCUGCAACU
rnacentral:rRNA from 1 species